CUGCUGCCUUCCGUAGGAGUCUGGGCCGUAUCUCAGUCCCAAUGUGGCCGAUCGACCUCUCAGUCCGGCUACCCAUCGUCGGCUAGGUGGGCCUCUACCCCGCCUACUACCUAAUGGGCCGCGACCCCAUCCCGCGCCGUCGGGGCUUUCCCGCCGCCCCCAUGCGGGGGCCGCGGAGUAUCCGGUAUUAGCCGCCGUUUCCAGCGGUUGUCCCGGAGCGCGGGGCAGGUUGGUCACGUGUUACUCACCCGUUCGCCACUGCGUGUCCGCCCGAGGGUCGG
rnacentral:rRNA from 1 species